rnacentral:rRNA from 1 species
AUUGAACGCUGGCGGCAGGCCUAACACAUGCAAGUCGAACGAGUGGCGGACGGGUGAGUAAUGUCUGGGAAACUGCCUGAUGGAGGGGGAUAACUACUGGAAACGGUAGCUAAUACCGCAUACCAUCGGAUGUGCCCAGAUGGGCUUAGCUAGUUGGUGGGGUAAAGGCUCACCAAGGCGACGAUCCCUAGCUGGUAUGAGAGGAUGACCAGCCACACUGGAACUGAGACACGGUCCAGCCUCCUACGGGAGGCAGCAGUGGGGAAUAUUGCACAAUGGUGGCAAGCCUGAUGCAGCCAUGCCGGGUGUAUGAAGAAGGCCUUCGGGUUGUAAAGUACUUUCAGCGGGGAGGCGUUACCCGCAGAAGAAGCACCGGCUAACUCCGUGCCAGCAGCCGCGGUAAUAC